GGGCUCGAACUCACGGACCGCGAGAUCAUGACCUGGCUGAAGUGGGAUGCUCAACCGACUGCGCCACCCAGGCGCCCCUGUUUGACUACUUUAAAAUGCACUCUAGAGGUUACCACGCAUCCCUGCAUCCAGGAAGGAAAAGGGCACAAUUUUGAAGAGAGAGAGAGAGAAAAAAUCCUGAGGAGGGCUUCGUGCUGUCAUUGUAGAGCCUGACUUGGGGCUUGAUCCCAUGAACCAUGAGAUCAUGACCUGAGACAAAAUCAAGUCAAGACACUCAACCAAUUGUGCCACCUUGGCGCCUGUCCUUAUUAUUCAGAUUUUUAUUUCAUUUAAGAAACAACAUCCGUAUAAAACCUAUAUCAGUAGUAAAUGAGAAGAUUUCAUAUUUGAA